GGAUAACUAGUCGAAAGAUUAGCUAAUACCGCAUAAGACCACAGGAGCUGCGGCUCUAGGGGUCAAAGGUUUUUCGCUCUAAGAUGAGUCCGCGUAAGAUUAGCUAGUUGGUGAGGUAACGGCUCACCAAGGCGACGAUCUUUAACUGGUCUGAGAGGAUGAUCAGUCACACUGGAACUGAGACACGGUCCAGACUCCUACGGGAGGCAGCAGUAGGGAAUAUUGCACAAUGGAGGAAACUCUGAUGCAGCGACGCCGCGUGAGUGAUGAAGGCCUUCGGGUCGUAAAGCUCUGUCGCAGGGGAAUAACACAAUGAAUGUACCCUGUAAGAAAGGAUCGGCUAACUUCGUGCCAGCAGCCGCGGUAAGACGAGGGAUCCUAGCGUUGUUCGGAAUUAUUGGGCGUAAAGCGGAUGUAGGUGGCUUUGUAAGUCAGAUGUGAAAGCCCAGGGCUCAACCCUGGAAGUGCAUUUGAUACUGCGAAGCUUGAGUGUCGGAGAGGUUACUAGAAUUGUUGGUGUAGUGGUGAAAUACGUAGAUAUCAACAGGAAUACCGGAGGCGAAGGCGGGUAACUGGCCGAACACUGACACUGAGAUCCGAAAGCGUGGGGAUCAAACAGGAUUAGAUACCCUGGUAGUCCACGCCGUAAACGAUGGAUACUUGUUGUUGGAGGUAUUGACCCCUUCAGUGACGAAGCUAACGCGUUAAGUAUCCCGCCUGGGGAGUACGGUCGCAAGAUUAAAACUCAAAGAAAUUGACGGGGGCCCGCACAAGCGGUGGAGCAUGUGGUUUAAUUCGAUGCAACGCGAAGAACCUUACCUAGGCUUGACAUGUACUGGAAGACUGGCAGAAAUGUCGUCGCCCGCAAGGGUCGGUACACAGGUGCUGCAUGGCUGUCGUCAGCUCGUGUCGUGAGAUGUUGGGUUAAGUCCCGCAACGAGCGCAACCCCUGCAUUUAGUUGCCAGCAUUCAGUUGGGCACUCUAGAUGGACUGCCGGUGUUAAACCGGAGGAAGGUGGGGAUGACGUC
rnacentral:rRNA from 1 species